rnacentral:lncRNA from 1 species
CGUGUUCGACCCACCAGGUGGCAAGCUCUCGCGGACCAAUCGGAAGAUCUCGUAAUAAAAUACUUUGUUUUUUUGCAGCCUUCCGAUAAGUGUUGUUUCGCAAUGUAGCAACCUUAAGUAUACCAUCGCGAAGGCUUCCUACCGACAAUGUGGCCAGGUCCAUCACUAAAGCGUAACCAAGUUUUUCUGAAAAUCAACCACAAAGAAGAAAGGGCAAAGUGGUGGAAAAAUUUGUACUUGUUAGAAGACAAGAGAAAAGAAAGUGAGAAAGAAUAAAAGAACGAAAGAAACAAA